rnacentral:rRNA from 1 species
GGUUACCGCCGGUGCCGCAGCUAACGCAUUAAGUAUCCCGCCUGGGAAGUACGGCCGCAAGGUUGAAACUCAAAGGAAUUGACGGGGGCCCGCACAAGCGGUGGAGCAUGUGGUUUAAUUCGACGCAACGCGAAGAACCUUACCCAGGCUGGACAUGCAGGUAGUAGAAGGGUGAAAGCCUGACGAGGUAGCAAUACCAUCCUGCUCAGGUGCUGCACGGCUGUCGUCAGCUCGUGCCGUGAGGUGUUGGGUUAAGUCCCACAACGAGCGCAACCCCUGUCUUCAGUUACCAACGGGUCAUGCCGGGAACUCUGGAGAGACUGCCCAGGAGAACGGGGAGGAAGGUGGGGAUGACGUCAAGUCAGCAUGGCCUUUAUGCCUGGGGCCACACACGUGCUACAAUGGCCAGUACAACGGGCUGCCACGGCGCGAGCCGGAGCGAAUCCUCAAAGCUGGUCUCAGUUCGGAUUGUAGGCUGCAACUCGCCUGCAUGAAGCUGGAAUUGCUAGUAACCGUGGAUCAGCAUGCCGCGGUGAAUACGUACUCGGGGCUUGUACACACCGCCCGUCACACCACGAAAGUAGGCAACACCCGAAGUCCGUGGGCUAACCGUAAGGAAGCAGCGGCCGAAGGUGGGGUCAAUGAUUGGGGUGAAGUCGUAACAAGGUAGCCGUAGCGGAAGCUGCGGCUGGAU